rnacentral:tRNA from 2 species
CCCUGGAUAGCUCAGCGGUAGAGCAAUGGCCUCAUAAGCCAUGAGUGGCAGGUUCGAACCCUGCUCCAGCCUCAA